CAGAGCCAAGGAAGCUGCACAGGGACAAGGGCUGAUGAUAUUGAAAGUUCAUAUGGAUCAGAAAGUCACAUGAAGAGUUCACACCGAGUCUCAGAGGAGCCAAUGAACAAAAUCUGGGACUAUAAAGACCAUGAAGUCCUUUGAAGAGUGACUAAGCGCAUUGUACACCGAGAUGCACAGGAGCCUGUAGAAACUAAGACAUUUGGAGCAGCAGGAUGCCAUUGAGAAGAGGUUGGGAAUGUUAAAGCUGUAAGUUCCAGUCCAUUCUCAGAAAGCUAACCAAGAGACGUCUUGUAUCAGAUCAACUCUCAGAAUCAGAAGGUCUCAGAGGGCAUAAGA
rnacentral:piRNA from 1 species